GAGAGGGGACGAGGGAGAGAAAAGAAAGUACUGAGUUUAAGUUUACAAACUCUAAAAACUUAGAGCCUGUUUGGUACUCUAUUUGAAUCCAACUUUUUAAACUCAAAAACAAUUUUCAAGCUUUAGGCCUUAAAAACUUGUUUGGUAUGACUAUUUUCAAAAACUGAACUCAAGACUAACUCAAAAAUAUAGUCUAUUAUCUAAAAACAGAAAAAGUAAGUUUUUAGAGUUUUUAAACUUAAACUCACUCAUUUCUUUCCUCUCCCUCCUCCCUUCUCACUCCAAAUCUAUAUAUCUUUUAUUCUCUCUCUCUCUCCCUCUCUCACCCUUCUCUUUCUUUUUUUUUUUUACCUUUUUCGUCUUUCCUUUAAUCUGCUCUCUUCAUUCUCUCGGUUCUUUUUCUCGCUUCUCUU
rnacentral:lncRNA from 1 species